GACCACAAAUUCAUCGCGCGCUUCUUCAAGCAGCCCACCUUCUGCAGCCACUGCACCGACUUCAUCUGGGGGUUUGGGAAACAAGGCUUCCAGUGCCAAGGUAAGCUACCACUUUUGGUUUUAUUUUCAAGCACAACAUGAAAUAAGCAUUCCAAACAAGAACAUUAUUUCCAGUCAUAUUUUCUUUCCAAUAAAAAAAUGUUAUUUAGAUAAUUUUGAAAUAUGAGGGCUGUAAAUUUGGGCCUUAAAAAAUAAUUGGGGCCUACUAAUCUGCAUAUAGAGCUGCCUUUUUCUCAUUGGAAAAAAAAAAAAAAAGCCUUU
rnacentral:lncRNA from 1 species